AAACAUAAUAUGAAAAGUAGUACAUAUACUAUUCACAAUUAGUAAUAUAGUCGGUUUUGAUUGGGUGAGAGAGAGAGACAUGUGGGGCAUAUUUAGUCGGUCAAGUUUUUAAUUUUUUUUUUUUAUUACACAUUCCCUCAAUGUUUAAUAACUAAAAUGCUUAUUAGUAAAUUUUAUUUUUCUAAAAUUGAUCAUAUAAAUAAAAAUCUAUAUUUUUCUCUAUCAUUUGAUAUGCAUUUUGUUUAAUGAUUUUUAAAUUUUAUAUUAUAAAGCAUUGUACAGAUUAGAUCAUUGUACAGAUAUAGACCGCUGUACAAAUGUAGACUAAUGUACAGAUAUGCACCACUGUACAGAUAUAGACUAUUGUACAAAUAUAGAUCAAUGUACAAAUAUAGACUAUUGUAAAGAAUGAUGUAUCUGUUAAACGAAGUCAUAAUUUACUGUUAAACGAACAAAUAUUUUUCUCAAAGUUUUGAUGGUGUAACCGAAGUCCGUAUGAGUCUUUGGUUUUGUAUCUUCUAACAAGGAAACACUACUUAGACUUUUAAGAUCCGUUUGCGGUUCUAGUUCUUAUACUCAAUCAUACACAUGACAUAAAGUCAUAUUUGUCUCCAAAACAGUAACCGAGCUUCUUUAUGCUUCACAAAUGUUAAACGAACAAAUAUCUUCUGUACAUAUGCAUCAUUUUGUAUAGUGGUUUAUAUCUGUACAAUAGUCUAUAUCUGUAUAUUAGUCUAUAUCUGUACAUAGGUUUAUAUCUGUACAGUGAUCUAUAUCUGUACAGUGGUCUAUAUUUGUACAGUGAUCUUUCUUUACAGUGCUCUAUAAUAUAAAAUGUAAAAAUCAUUAAACAAACUGCAUAUCAAAUGAUAGAGAAAAAAACAUAAAUAGUUGAAAAUGACAUUUGGGCAGGAUCUUUUUUAUUCUGCUACAUCUGAUUUUCAACUCAGACUUUUGCUGAUGCUCAUUAAUGGUCUAUAUCUGUACAUAUAUAUAUUACUAUAUUACUAAUUGUGAAUAAUAUAUAUAUAUUACUUCUAUAGUU
rnacentral:sRNA from 1 species